UCGAGCGACUGAUUAGAAGCUUGCUUCUAUGACGUUAGCGGCGGACGGGUGAGUAACACGUGGGCAACCUGCCUGUAAGACUGGGAUAACUCCGGGAAACCGGAGCUAAUACCGGAUAACAUUUUCUCUUGCAUAAGAGAAAAUUUGAAAGAUGGUUUCGGCUAUCACUUACAGAUGGGCCCGCGGUGCAUUAGCUAGUUGGUGAGGUAACGGCUCACCAAGGCAACGAUGCAUAGCCGACCUGAGAGGGUGAUCGGCCACACUGGGACUGAGACACGGCCCAGACUCCUACGGGAGGCAGCAGUGGAA
rnacentral:rRNA from 2 species